rfam:Candidatus Giovannonibacteria bacterium RIFCSPLOWO2_01_FTLL_45_34 rifcsplowo2_01_scaffold_4307, whole genome shotgun sequence.
GGCUGGGUAGCUCAGUUGGUUAGAGCACGGCACUCAUAAAGCCGGGGUCGUGGGUUCGAUUCCCACCUCAGCCA